rfam:Brassica oleracea var. oleracea cultivar TO1000 chromosome C3, whole genome shotgun sequence
GGAUGUUAAGAAACUGUUUCUUAACUUUUAACUAAAAAAACUAAGAACUAGUUCUUAAAUAAGGACUUUAAGAACCGGUUCUUAUCUUUUUUAGUUAAAAGUUAAGAAACAGUUACUUAACUUCC